rnacentral:rRNA from 1 species
CCCUUAGAUGUUCUGGGCCGCACGCGCGCUACACUGACGAAUGCAACGAGCUUAUAACCUUGGCCGAAAGGUCUGGGUAAUCUCCAAAUUUCGUCGUGAUGGGGAUAGAUUAUUGCAAUUAUUAAUCUUCAACGAGGAAUGCCUAGUAAGCGCAAGUCAUCAGCUUGCGUUGAUUACGUCCCUGCCCUUUGUACACACCGCCCGUCGCUACUACCGAUUGGACGGUUUAGCGAGGCCCUCGGAUCGGUACCAGGACUCCGUCAGGAGUGACUGGCAACCGAGAAGGCGGUCGAACUUGACCGUCUAGAGGAAGUAAAAGUCGUAACA